CCUACGGGGGGCUGCAGUGGGGAAUAUUGGACAAUGGGGGGAACCCUGAUCCAGCCAUGCCGCGUGUGUGAAGAAGGCCCUCGGGUUGUAAAGCACUUUCAGUGAGGAAGAACGCCUGGUGGUUAAUACCCAUCAGGAAAGACAUCACUCACAGAAGAAGCACCGGCUAACUCCGUGCCAGCAGCCGCGGUAAUACGGAGGUUGCGAGCGUUAAUCGGAAUUACUGGGCGUAAAGCGCGCGUAGGUGGCUUGAUAAGCCGGUUGUGAAAGCCCCGGGCUCAACCUGGGAACGGCAUCCGGAACUGUCAAGCUAGAGUGCAGGAGAGGAAGGUAGAAUUCCCGGUGUAGCGGUGAAAUGCGUAGAGAUCGGGAGGAAUACCAGUGGCGAAGGCGGCCUUCUGGACUGACACUGACACUGAGGUGCGAAAGCGUGGGUAGCAAACAGGAUUAGAUACCCUGGUAGUC
rnacentral:rRNA from 1 species